rnacentral:piRNA from 1 species
UGCUCUGGUAGAAUCCUUUUAAAAUUGAGA